rnacentral:rRNA from 1 species
ACGAACGCUGGCGGCGUGCUUCACACAUGCAAGUCGAACGGAAAGGCCCUGCUUUUGUGGGGUGCUCGAGUGGCGAACGGGUGAGUAACACGUGAGUAACCUGCCCUUGACUUUGGGAUAACUUCAGGAAACUGGGGCUAAUACCGGAUAGGAGCUCCUGCCGCAUGGUGGGGGUUGGAAAGUUUCGGCGGUUGGGGAUGGACUCGCGGCUUAUCAGCUUGUUGGUGGGGUAGUGGCUUACCAAGGCUUUGACGGGUAGCCGGCCUGAGAGGGUGACCGGCCACAUUGGGACUGAGAUACGGCCCAGACUCCUACGGGAGGCAGCAGUGGGGAAUAUUGCACAAUGGGCGGAAGCCUGAUGCAGCAACGCCGCGUGCGGGAUGACGGCCUUCGGGUUGUAAACCGCUUUCGCCUGUGACGAAGCGUGAGUGACGGUAAUGGGUAAAGAAGCACCGGCUAACUACGUG